rnacentral:lncRNA from 1 species
GCCCGCCCGUGCUGUAAACCUGGUGUUCUCUUCCGCCGUUGGGCCUUUCUGAGCACCACGGGUCUCCCAUGAAAUGGAAGAUGUGCGUCAGCCACGCAACUGCCGCCGCAGGUUCACUCUGAAGCUCCUGUCUGCAAAGGCAGUGUGGGGAGGACAAAGAGCGGCGUAAAUAAUGGAUUAAGAGCAGCUCCAGCGACAGCCUGUUCGUCCAGAAGCCUCAGAAGGAAAACACACCACCGAUGACUCAUUGGAUAAUAGUGCCCUGGCCUGCUGCCACUUCUGUGCAGGUCUCCUGGGGGACCUGGAUGCUACAUGGGCCUCAUUACGGGGAAGGCAGUGACGCUGGCCCCAGGGAGCCCAAAACAAAGAGGAGGAGAGGCUUGGUGCACGUUGAAGAGAAGCAUCCAUCCGCCCACCCAGAUGCCCUCAUCGUUGUAAGGACGGACAAGCAGCAUGCAAAAGGGCCCCGGCGUCAGGAGAGAGGCAUGUGCAAAGGACCUGUGCAAAGCCUCAAGCUCCACAACACGCCUGCAGCCCUGGUUCCUUUUCCAGCAGGAAGAAAACUCUCCGUCACUUUCCCAUUGUGGCUGAGCCAGUGAGAAGAGAACAAUACUGGAAGCUGAGAGGCUCCACCCAAGCUCUCACCCAAGCCCCCUCUGUGGACUCUGCCCCCACCCCAGCACCGCAGGGCCUGUGACUUAAUGUGUGACGUGGCAGAACUACAACUGGUUCCAGACCUGGUGACCUCAGGGGUUGCUAGCAGGUCUUACUGCUGUCUCUAGCUUCACCUUCUCUACCAUUGCCACCACCACUGUGACCACCGACUCCAAGGAUCAGGGAGAGAGAGGAAGAUGCCUCGGCCCUAGGUCCUAACUGUGUGUGGCUCCUCCACUCCUGCACUCCGACCAUAGCACCCACUCUUGGUCCAGCUAGCGCCCUGGUGUGCUUCUCAGAUGUGCUUCCGCAGGACAUGAUCCUGCCGCAGAAUCAGCUGGGCACUUCUUUAAACACAGAUGGAGGAGGAGAAAUUUAUUUUGCCUCCUGUGUUUCAGUCCAUGGUCAACUGGCUCCAAGGCCAGAAGGCCCGGCAGCGGGGCCUGGUGGAGGAGAGGUGCUCACAGCAUGGCGGACCGGAAGUAGUCAAGGUAGGAGCUGGGAAGGGAAAUAAACUCUUCCGGAUCACGCCCACAGCGACUCACCUCUUCCCACAAGUCCCUACCGCCUAAGCAGGAUGCACAUUGUGGCAGAGAGUUGUGCGCUUCCCCAGGGCUGCCAGUCAGUGGAUCUGAGAAUCUGCACUUCCAGGGAGUGCCCAGGCUGUCCAUCCAUGCUCACCCACAGAUUUCACUGGAGAACCCCUGCCCUAGUUCAGUCCAGGGGCUGUGCGGCUGUCUCUAAUAUGCAGCUCCUCUGAAUGUCACUUGCCCGCCAGUGUACCUGGCUUUCGUACCUAGCUGUUCUUACCUGCAGCCUAGAGCCACGCAUUUCUGGAACGUCUUCUCUUUACUACCCAAGAUUGGUCACCCAGAUUUUGGGACUCUGAGUCACCAAGUAAGGGGUAGCUCAGCUUCCCGGGGAGAGCUCACAAAACAGGAACCCAGGGGGCCUGCAUUGUGGUUUACAUCUCCGUGUCCCCUAAAGUCUAAAGCAAUCUUAGGCAGGGCUUUGGAAAAGCAAUUGGAUUAUGGGGGCUUAUAGCUGACUUGCUGUAAGAAACAGGCCCUGUUCAGAAGCAGCGGGUCACCGUGGGCAUGACCCAGAAGGGUUUAUCUCCCUUCCCAGCUCCUUCUUUCACUCUCUGCUUCCUGCCAUGCUGGGAGCAGCUUUCCUCUAGCAUGCUGGCCAGAGGAAGAGAGGCACUUUGUGGUGCAGUUGGACACUACCCUUUGAGUGGGGCCCCGUGG